GACGAACGCUGGCGGUGUGCUUAACACAUGCAAGUCGAAUGGUAAGGCCCUUUCGGGGGUACACGAGUGGCGAACGGGUGAGUAACACGUGAGUAACCUGCCCUCAUCUCUGGGAUAACAGUCGGAAACGGUUGCUAAUACUGGAUAUGAGCCUGCAAGGCAUCUUGUGGGUUGGAAAGAUUUUUUGGUUGGGGAUGGACUCGCGGCCUAUCAGCUUGUUGGUGAGGUAGUGGCUCACCAAGGCUUCGACGGGUAGCCGGCCUGAGAGGGCGACCGGCCACAUUGGGACUGAGAUACGGCCCCAACUCCCACGGGAGGCAGCAGUGGGGAAGAUUGCACAAUGGACGGAAGUCUGAUGCAGCAACGCCGCGUGCGGGAUGACGGCCUUCGGGUUGUAAACCGCUUUCAAUUGUGACGAAGCUUUUUGUGACGGUAGCAGUAGAAGAAGCACCGGCUAACUACGUG
rnacentral:rRNA from 1 species